rnacentral:rRNA from 1 species
CAGUAGCCACGGGAACACGUAGGUCUCGAGCGUUGUCCGGAUUUAUUGGGCGUAAAGCGAGCGCAGGCGGUUAGAUAAGUCUGAAGUUAAAGGCUGUGGCUUAACCAUAGUACGCUUUGGAAACUGUUUAACUUGAGUGCAAGAGGGGAGAGUGGAAUUCCAUGUGUAGCGGUGAAAUGCGUAGAUAUAUGGAGGAACACCGGUGGCGAAAGCGGCUCUCUGGCUUGUAGCUGACGCUGAGGCUCGAAAGCGUGGGGAGCAAACAGGAUUAGAUACCCCAGUAGUCCCUGUCUCUUAUACC